UAUUAAGCGGUGGAAAAGAAACUAACUAGGAUUCCCUUAGUAGCUGCGAGCGAACAGGGAUAAGCCCAGCACCGAAUCCCGCGGCCGAUACCGGACGCCGGGAAAUGUGGUGUUUGGGAGGAUUCAUAUUCACGAGAUUUGGUGUUGCGUCCAAGUCCUUCUUGAACGGGGCCACAGCCCAUAGAGGGUGCCAGGCCCGUAGUGACCAAUACCAGUCGCGUGAGAAUCUCUCCUUAGAGUCGGGUUGCUUGAGAGUGCAGCCCUAAGUGGGUGGUAAACUCCAUCUAAGGCUAAAUAUAACCACGAGACCGAUAGCGAACAAGUACCGUGAGGGAAAGUUGAAAAGCACUUUGAAGAGAGAGUUCAAGAGUACGUGAAACCGUUCAGGGGUAAACCUGAGAAACCCGAAAGGUCGAAAGGGGAAAUUCAUUCGUAUCUCGAUAUUAGCAUCAGAUGAUUGUAUGACAACUGUUGUCCUGUAUAACGGUUGCAUCUGUUGUUUGAUGAACUGAUGUCGAAUGCGUGCACUUUUCCCCAAGUAGGACGCCGCGAUCCGUUGUGUGUCGGUCUAAGGCCCAUGGUGGAGCCCAUUUGGAUGGCAUUCACGUGUCAUUGCCGAUUGGACCCGUGGUGUUCCCGGCCGACUUGCACGACGGUAUACAGAUGGCGCAGAGCCGCGACAUUAGUUCGCGUUCGGCCCAUGGCAAGCACGCCACGGUGUGUUGGCGAUCGGACCUAGUGCCGUUCCCGGCCCCUGGUGACUGUUGGCUGUGGUGUUCUCGAACAGACUCUGUAAUAUGAAACGCCGAUCUGCGGCGCUAUAGCUUUGGGUACUUUCAGGACCCGUCUUGAAACACGGACCAAGGAGUCUAGCAUGUGCGCGAGUCAUUGGGAGAUAACUAAACCUAAAGGCGUAAUGAAAGUGAAAGUUUGUCUUGCACAAACUUAGGGAGGAUGGGUGGUUUGCCCAUAAAGUGGCCACUCCGCACUCCCGGGGCGUCUCAUUCUUAUUGCAAGAAGAGGCGCACCAAGAGCGUACACGCUGGGACCCGAAAGAUGGUGAACUAUGCCUGGUCAGGACGAAGUCAGGGGAAACCCUGAUGGAGGUCCGUAGCGAUUCUGACGUGCAAAUCGAUCGUCGGAACUGGGUAUAGGGGCGAAAGACUAAUCGAACCAUCUAGUAGCUGGUUCCCUCCGAAGUUUCCCUCAGGAUAGCUGGCGCUCAUUGCGCACGAGUCUCAUCCGGUAAAGCGAAUGAUUAGAGGCAUUGGGGUCGAAACGACCUCAACCUAUUCUCAAACUUUAAAUGGGUGAGAUCUCCGGCUUGCUUAAAUAUUGAAGCCGUGAGAUUUCGGAUCAGAGUGCCAAGUGGGCCAUUUUUGGUAAGCAGAACUGGCGCUGUGGGAUGAACCAAACGCUGAGUUAAAGCGCCUAAAUCGACGCUUAUGGGAUACCAUGAAAGGCGUUGGUAACUUAAGACAGCAGGACGGUGGCCAUGGAAGUCGGAAUCCGCCAAGGAGUGUGUAACAACUCACCUGCCGAAGUUACUAGCCCUGAAAAUGGAUGGCGCUGAAGCGUCGUGCUUAUACUCAGCCGUCAGUGGCAUGUGCGGUUCACUUUUGUGGGCCAUGAAGCUCUGACGAGUAGGAGGGUCGCGGCGGUGAGCGCUGAAGGGCUGGCCGUGAGGCCGUCUGGAGCCGCCGUCGGUGCAGAUCUUGGUGGUAGUAGCAAAUACUCCAGCGAGGCCCUGGAGGACUGACGUGGAGAAGGGUUUCGUGUGAACAGCCGUUGCACACGAGUCAGUCGAUCCUAAGCCCUAGGCGAAAGCCGAUGUUAAUGUGGUGUAUGUUUAUAAUUACUAUGUAUCAAUUCUUAUUUUGUUUCAUUACCAUUUAUAAUACAUCUAUUACUUAUCAGCGCUAUCAUGCUGCUACUAAUCAAAAAUUAUCCACUUUUAGCACGCUACUACUUCUUGCGCUCUCUAUCAAAUAUGUAAUUUAUUUUGUAAAGUUAUUUUUAUAAAUAUUACAUGUAAUAGGGUUUAGGCGAUUAUUAAGUUUAUGUAGUUGUGUUAAGAUAGUGGUGUUAUUAUUUGAUGUGUUUAUGCUUGUGUGAUGUGCGUUGCGUAUCAGGUAUAAUUGGUUUAAAUUGUAUUGAUUGAAUAAAGAAAUUUGUUAAUGAACACACCCAUUGGGCGAAAGGGAAUCCGGUUCCUAUUCCGGAACCCGGUAGCGGAACCGUUUAAAAGUCGGGCCCUCGCAAGAGAGUUCGUCGGGGUAACCCAAAAGGACCCGGAGACGCCGUCGGGAGAUCCGGAAAGAGUUUUCUUUUCUGUAUGAGCGUUCGAGUUCCAUGGAAUCCUCUAGCAGGGAGAUAUGGUUUGGAACGCGAAGAGCACCGCAGUUGCAGCGGUGUCCGGAUCUUCCCCUCGGACCUUGAAAAUCCGGGAGAGGGCCACGUGGAGGUGUCGCACCGGUUCGUACCC
rnacentral:rRNA from 1 species